UUUAGCCUACGGGACGCAGCAGUGAGGAAUAUUGGUCAAUGGGCGAGAGCCUGAACCAGCCAAGUCGCGUGAGGGAAGACGGUCCUAUGGAUUGUAAACCUCUUUUGUCGGGGAGCAAAAAGGCCUCGUGAGGCCACAAGUGAGAGUACCCGAAGAAAAAGCAUCGGCUAACUCCGUGCCAGCAGCCGCGGUAAUACGGAGGAUGCGAGCGUUAUCCGGAUUUAUUGGGUUUAAAGGGUGCGUAGGCGGAAUGCCAAGUCAGCGGUAAAAUCGCGGGGCUCAACCUCGCUCCGCCGUUG
rnacentral:rRNA from 1 species